rnacentral:rRNA from 1 species
GAUGAACGCUGGCGGCGUGCCUAAUACAUGCAAGUCGAGCGAACGGACGAGAAGCUUGCUUCUCUGAUGUUAGCGGCGGACGGGUGAGUAACACGUGGAUAACCUACCUAUAAGACUGGGAUAACUUCGGGAAACCGGAGCUAAUACCGGAUAAUAUUUUGAACCGCAUGGUUCAAAAGUGAAAGACGGUCUUGCUGUCACUUAUAGAUGGAUCCGCGCUGCAUUAGCUAGUUGGUAAGGUAACGGCUUACCAAGGCAACGAUGCAUAGCCGACCUGAGAGGGGGAUCGGCCACACUGGAACUGAGACACGGUCCAGACUCCUACGGGAGGCAGCAGUAGGGAAUCUUACGCAAUGGGCGAAAGCCUGACGGAGCAACGCCGCGGGAGUGAUGAAGGUCUUCGGAUCGUAAAACUCUGUUAUUAGGGAAGAACAUAUGUGUAAGUAACUGUGCACAUCUUGACGGUACCUAAUCAGAAAGCCACGGCUAACUACGUG